UCACCAUUAACGACAACAACGUCUCCACGGAUCAGCCAUCAACUCACGUCACUCCCUGACGCUGCCAGUCUUGGUCCUCAUACCCUCACCCACGCGCCUCCUUCUGCUUUCAGUCCUUUAGAUUCCUUGUCAACAAAUAAAUCUUUCUCCCUUCUAUUACGACGGAUGAUUGGAAACUGCUUGUGGUGCACUCCCCCACCCCACCUUGCUAGGUCACGUCAAGGCCGGACAACCACAGAUUCUCCAUCCUCCUUCGUCGAAUG
rnacentral:lncRNA from 1 species